UACGUAGGGCGCAAGCGUUAUCCGGAAUUAUUGGGCGUAAAGAGCUCGUGGGCGGUGUGUCGCGUCGGCCGUGAAAACCUGCAGCUUAACUGUGGGCUUGCGGUCGAUACGGGCAUCACUGGAGUUCGGCAGGGGAGACUGGAAUUCCUGGUGUAGCGGUGAAAUGCGCAGAUAUCAGGAGGAACACCGGUGGCGAAGGCGGGUCUCUGGGCCGAUACUGACGCUGAGGCGCGAAAGCCAGGGGAGCAAACGGG
rnacentral:rRNA from 1 species